GCCGGAUUGGUAUUCUGCCCAGGUGCGGUUGAAGCUCACGCUGCCGUCCUGGCGGCGCUGCAGGACGGUCCACCCUCCACCCUCCUGCUCCAUCUCGCAGUACACCGAGAAGCUACUAGUGCGGAGGUCAGGGGUCACCAGGUGAUAUUAUCAUCUCGCAGCUGGGAUUUAUUCGUGAAAUGAGCUGGCUGAGGUCACGAGUGCAUCAGAGACUAGAACAAACAUCUGACCAUCAGUCCGGGCUCUGCUGCCUGGGCGUCCUGGCAGACCACUUCAUCUCCAUCCACUUCGGGCAGAGGAACCAGUGCCGUCGUUUGCGUCUGUUAUGUGCAUAAGUGUCCCAUUUCCAGCUGCACUGGAGUGAACCCAACAACUGUCGUAGUGCAGCGCCAGCCUCCUGUAACACCACACUCAGUCUGCCUGCCUGAAGGUAUAACCCUACCUGCGUUAUUCCACUGCCUCCCGGCUCGCAUGCCAAGAAUAAAUAAAUAUUCAGCUCUGAGAUGCAAUACCUGGCCUAAUCAUGUGAAUGGGCCCAAAUGUAAAGUCCCCGUCAUCCCUCUCUGUUAUGAAAAUGUGCCUACAGUCAUAUUCACAUGAUUUGGCUGUGUCCGGAUCUUUAAUUCUGCAGUAACGGAUGCAUUCCUUUGCCAUGUGUGAGAAUGUUUUUCAUCGAACACUAAUAAUGACUCCUAAAAGUGAAACAAUCAAAUGUCCCUCACAUCUGGGCUGAAUUUCCUACAGCUAGCCAACACCAGAUAACGUCAGGUCAAUUAGUUUUUUAAUCCAAAAUCCUGGAAUUCGUUAAGACAUUGUUUAAAACUUAUAUUUUAUAAUCCUCAUCCUGAUAAGGGAUAUGGAAAGCGGGCUUAACAUGGGAACAGCUUAUCUGCUGUUGUCACUGCCUGCCCACCAGGAGCGGACAUUUCUGAGACCCUGGCAUGCACAAAGAAUAAAGAGGUAUUUUUCCAUCGCAGGAGAGGUGCUUUUUCUUUUAAAAACGUGUGAAGCGUGUUUUGUAGUAAAGGUUCUACAGAGACGUAGCCGUUCGGUUUUCCAUCAUAACCUGAUGUUCAUACUGAAUAGAUUUGUGCUGCAUACUGUAAAUGUCCCAGCUGCGCUUAAUAGAAACCAUGCAUCAUACACAGACAAUAGCCUAGAGAUAAACUUACAGAAAGGUGUGCCUCAACGCACCGCAGAAACCCCUUAUUUACUAAACCUUCUUCUUCUCAGCACCACUUCCACAGUCAUAUUUUUAGAGACCGCUAAACAUUAUGACAUUAGUCAGGUGUUACCAUAAAAUACUUCACUGCACGUAAAAGGCAAAGUAUGGCUGCCUGACAAUGUUAAAACAAUAAAACUGUUUAUUAUUCCAGCGUGCCACGAGUAAGAGUGCAGAAAACCAAACUGUGAGAGCUGGUUGUUAUUUUCAGAAUUUGAUCUACUCCAAGUUUAAUGUUUAAAACAAUAAUAAAGUCAAUGAAGAUGCCAAUUGUGGGGAAAUAAAAAGUUAAGCCAUUUCCCUCCCAGUUACAAAAUGAUACCUCAAAUCUGUCCCUGAGUAUAGCAGUCAGGUAGCUGGACUUUCUGCCUCUGCUGAAGAUGUAAAGAGUUAUCAUCUUUCCACUGCCUUGUGUGAUAGGAACCAGAAAUAAGCUCUAUGUACUGCAAACUUUCUUCUCUUCUCUGUGAAAACUGUUUAAAGAGCCAGUGUGCAAUCUAAUGAGCUAUUUUGGCCAAAAGAAAUAAACAAAUCUCAUUUUUGAGUAAGCGCUUGUGAACACUGUGUACACUACCUUUCCGAUCUUUCUGCACAGAUUAGGACUUUUUCUUUCAAGGCAGUAGAUGGGAACCAGAGGAGCUCAGAAAGAGAUGUGGAUGAGUGAGACAGCUAUGGGACUGGAAUGUUUCAGUGCCAUAACAGAGAGAUAUCUUUCAUCUAAUAUUAGUAUGUGACGAAAGACAGCGUUUUAAUUUUAAUUGCCCAACGUUGACAUUAAAUGAAUAAUAGUUUUAAGAUAUUGCAUUUAAUUAAACUAGCGACUAACUUGUUGUUGUUCAAUAGUGAUGAAAACAUGUGCAGCUGACCACUCCCAACAUGAGUAAGGUUUGAUGGCACAGUGGUGAGGGUCAGUGAGCAGGGUGAUUUCCACAGGAAAACAAACACACACAAAGAGCCCUUCAAUCCAUUUCCACUACUUCACUGCCACCUGCUGGCACAACCUAGAAGUGUCUUAUAAAUUAAAAAACGUAUUUUCAUCAUACUCAAAAUGUCACAUUAUCAUCUCCAAAUGUUGACAUAAAAGCCUUAAGUUUCAAGUUAUUUUCUCAAUGCCUUAAGAUUUUGAGAUAAUAACGUUAAAUUUUGACUUACUGCUAGUUUGUGAUUUUUUUUUUUCAGUAGUGAAAACAAGUUUACAUACAACCCAGUGCAAUGAUAGCUCUAAAACCUUUUUAAUAACCCUCAACAAGGGCGAAAUCUUGUGGGAGAAAAACACACGCCCUUAUAAAGGAGCAUAACAAACACCUUUAAUACUACAUCGUUUAAAUAAUGGCAAACAAUAUUUUUUCCACCAUGUCCUGAAAUUCGUUUUUUCUCAGAAACUGGAUUUUUUAAAAAUCAGUUUCACUGCUUUGUUUUGGUCUCACGCUGACAUGUAGUUCUCUUCUUUCUUUAUUUUUUUAAUCUUUACCUUCACACGUUGCUGCUACGUUUCAACCAUUAAUCCAUUUUCUUGGUUUUUGUCCUUUAUUACCAUCUGACCCGAAUGAGAACAUGAAUGUUAAAUAUAGAGUGUGGUUAAUCAAGCACAUUUUAGUUUUUUUAAUCGUUUUAGGAAUUAUGUAUGACUCGUAUUUUAAAUUAACAGUAAAAGAAAAAAAUCCUGCAGCCCUCGCCACCCUUAGGAUAAGCGGAAGCGAAUGGAUGGAAGAGAAUGGACGGAUAACUGUAGUAAUCAAGUGUACCACUAGGGGGGGCUAGCUUAAUUGAAGAAACGCUGCGUUGAAGAAUGAUAAUAAAACUUUUAAAAAAGGUGUCCAAUUCUUUAGAAAAACUGCAAUUAAAAAAAAAAGACAGAACAUACGUGAAUCCUUCACAGAUGUUUUUUUAUUACAACCCCAUAGAAAAAUGCAUUUAUGGGGAUUUUGAAUUUUCUGUCAUCACAAAAAACAUUUUAAAACCACAAGAACAUACCAGAUGUUUUUGGUAGAGAUAAAAAAAAAUGCAAAAUUAUGAUUCUGAUUAAAAACAUUGUUUUUGUUGA